AUAAAGACUAUGAAGAGAAGAGUAGAUACAGUUAAUCAGUCAAAGCGAGUCGGUGAUGGUGGAAGGCCGAUACUGAUACUGUAUUGAAGAACAUCUCGGAGUCUCUAACCGAAAUUCUUAUUUAGAAGAGUAGAUUUAGACGGAGCCACACCGUUACAUGUGGGCAAUAUUGAAUUUUAUUUCAGUAUUGGUUGAGGUGGUCAUUGAAUAAUGACAAUUAGGGUGGUACCGCGAAAAAGCUUUUCGUCCCUACA
rnacentral:ncRNA from 1 species